UACGAAGGGUGCUAGCGUUGUUCGGAAUUACUGGGCGUAAAGCGCGCGUAGGCGGCUAAUCAAGUCAGGGGUGAAAUCCCACAGCUCAACUGUGGAAUUGCCUUUGAAACUGUUUAGCUUGAGUGUCGGAGGGGAUAGCGGAAUUGCUAAUGUAGAGGUGAAAUUCGUAGAUAUUAGCAGGAACACCGGUGGCGAAGGCGGCUAUCUGGACGACAACUGACGCUGAGGCGCGAAAGCGUGGGGAUCAAACAGG
rnacentral:rRNA from 1 species